rnacentral:lncRNA from 1 species
CACAGACGCACAUGAAAUUUGGUGCUGUGACUUGGAUUGGGGGACCUCCCUUGGGAGAUCAAUCCCCUGUACUCCUGUUCUUUGCUCCGUGAGAAAGAUCCACCUACGACCCUCAGGUCCUCAGACCGACUAGCCCAAGGAACAUCUCACCAAUUUUAAAUCAGGUGGAGUCUGGCACUGUUGUCCUGGCUGGAAUGCAGUGGUGCAAGCCGACUCACUGCAACCUCUGCCUCUUGGGUUCAAGUGAUUCUCCUGCUUCAGCCUCCUGAUUUGCUGGGAUUGCAGAGCAAACCAGUGAAAAAAUGGCCUUCGCACUCCUGAGAGACCUUUCACCCGGCUUUCUACUUUUGAAUUCUCUCCAUAGCUGGUUUCCUCUUAGGCCCCGAUAGAGCAGUCCCUGAAUCACACAGGUAUGCUGACUACGUCCUUUCCUGGUACAAACCAUCAUGUGGGAAACACACAGCAAGAAGCAUCUUCAGGUCACAAGAUAGGUAACACCAUCUACCUGAAUUUUUUCAAAAGCAGCAGAAUAUUUAGUUUUCUAUUUCAGUGGCUUCUAACAGAGAUCAUUGUUUGCACAAGAUUAAAUGUCUGCAGUCGUUGUC